rnacentral:rRNA from 1 species
GAUGAACGCUGGCGGCGUGCCUAAUACAUGCGAGUCGAGCGAACAGACGAGGAGCUUGCUCCUCUGACGUUAGCGGCGGACGGGUGAGUAACACGUGGAUAACCUACCUAUAAGACUGGGAUAACUUCGGGAAACCGGAGCUAAUACCGGAUAAUAUAUUGAACCGCAUGGUUCAAUAGUGAAAGACGGUUUUGCUGUCACUUAUAGAUGGAUCCGCGCCGCAUUAGCUAGUUGGUAAGGUAACGGCUUACCAAGGCAACGAUGCGUAGCCGACCUGAGAGGGGGAGCGGACACACUGUAACAGAGACACGGACCAGACUCCGACGGGAGGCAGCAGUAGGGAAUCUUCCGCAAUGGGCGAAAGCCUGACGGAGCAACGCCGCGUGAGGGAUGAAGGUCUACGGAUCGUAAAACUCUGUUAUUAGGGAAGAACAAAAGUGUAAGUAACUAUGCACGUCGUGACGGUACCUAAUCAGAAAGCCACGGCUAACUACGUG